GAUAAGGGUAAAUGGGCGGAAGCCUGAUCCAGUCAGGCCGCGUUUGUGAAGUAGAACUACGGUUUGUAAAGCACUUUACUUUGGGAGGAAUGGCAGCUAACGAAUACUUAACUGUUUUGACGUUACCAAAAGAUUAAGCACCUGCUAACUUCGUGCCAGCGUCCGCGGUAAUAUGAAGGGUGCAAGCGUUAAUCGGAAUUACUGGGCGUAAAGCGCGCGUAGGUGGGUCGUUAAGUUGGAAGUGAAAGCGCCGGGCUCAACCUGGGAAUGGCUUUCAAAACUGGCGAGCUCGAGUACGGUAGAGGGUGGUGGAAUUUCCUGUGUAGCGGUGAAAUGCGUAGAUAUAGAAAGGAACAUCAGUGGCGAAGGCGAACACCUGGACUGAUACUGACACUGAGGUGCGAAAGCGUGGGGAGCAAACAGG
rnacentral:rRNA from 1 species